rnacentral:lncRNA from 1 species
AACCGGAUUUGCAGGCGAGCAGGCUACGAGUUAGGACUUCCUUCUCUUCCAAUGCUAUUGGUGAGCUUCGCUUUUGUUCGUGGAGUAUUCCUUAGAAUCAUCUUUACUUAGUUAUUUCUUUGUUACUUAGAGAACUCGCCAGGAAAUCUCAUUUCCUGAGCAGUGCGUCAGUUUAUCAGUAGAGGCUUCAUAGACAUAGUCGUUGGGUUAAGCUUCAGAUGUUUUUGAUAAUAACUUAGCAGUAUUUCAUUGGUCACUAUGAAUAAAGUUUUGGAGUUAAUUUAUUUAAAUGUUUAAAUUAAUCAAAAGUAUUUGGUUAGAGUAUUGCCUUGUUGCAUAUAAAGUUUGGAGUUAUAAUAGAUUUGAUAAGCAGAGAUGGUUCGCUCGGUCAUGUUUAGUGAUCGAGUGAUGGUCCCGGCUUGUUCAGAAAGUGGGUCAUGACAAACUUGUUAUAAGAGCCUCAGGUUUAUGGAGUCCUAGAGGUCUAUGAAGCCGUGUUAGUAGAGUCAUGUUUAUGUGUAUGAAGCGUGCCAUACUUAUAAACAUGAGGAUACCAACAUUUAGGAAAAGUCUCAUUUUUCUCAUACUUUAGAUCAUGCAGUAGAUCCUACCUCUAAGAAAUUAUCUAAUGUAUUCGUUUCUCCAAAACUCGCAGAAAUGGCUCGUACUCGCAACUCUGACACCGACACUCAGGAUGCUACUAAAGAAACUAUUGCUACUAUUGUGGCUCAAGGCAGAACUAAAAAGGUGUUACAACCCAUAUUUUUGUACCUGAAAGUACGUCGUGAGUCAAUUGAUGUAAGCUCAAAAAGGAUGAAAUCCUUCUACAAGAAUAAGAAAGGUUUGUCAAAGUGUUACGCAAGUUAAGGUGAAUAUGAGACUUGUUAAUCAUGAUUUAAAUGAGUUUAAAGCCAUUAUUU